GACGAACGCUGGCGGCGUGCUUAACACAUGCAAGUGGAGCGACGAACCGGGGCUUGCCCCGGGGCAGAGCCGCGAACGGGGGAGUAACACGUGGGUAGCCCACCCCGAUGACCGGGACAACCCGAGGAAACUCGGGCUAAUACCGGAUGUGCUCCUUGAUCUUGAGGUCAAGGCGUAAAGAUAGCUUCGGCCUUCGCCUCGGGACGGGCCCGCGGCCCAUUAGCUUGUUGGUGGGGUAACGGCCUACCAAGGCGACGAUGGGUAGCUGGUCUGAGAGGACGAUCAGCCACACUGGGACUGAGACACGGCCCAGACUCCUACGGGAGGCAGCAGUGGGGAAUCUUGCACAAUGCGCGAAAGCGUGAUGCAGCAACGCCGCGUGGGGGAAGAAGGCCUUCGGGUUGUAAACCCCUUUCAGUUGGGACGAAGCUUCGCCGGUGAAUAGCCGGCUGGAGUGACGGUACCUUCACAAGAAGCCCCGGCUAACUACGUGCCAGCCGCCGCAGUAAUAA
rnacentral:rRNA from 1 species